rnacentral:sRNA from 1 species
UGAUGGUUCCUAAUACUUCAUGUUAGAAGAACUCGAAUUUGAUGACCAGUUUGAGAAACACCGGUAUAUCCAGAUUACAAGAAAAAGCGAGUCAAAAGGAUGAUCAUGAAUAUAGCAACUUCGAGGAAACAUUUAAUCAAAGACCAAAGCUUUUUAAACAACUGAGAGUUUUUAUAAGAAAAAGGCCUCAUACAGUAGUCCCCACUUAUUCAUGGGGGAUACAUUUCAAGACCCACAGAGGAUGCCUGAAAUCACUGAUGUACCAAACCCUAACCAGGUUCUUAGGAUGAGCUACUAAAUGACAAAUGGUGUUCCUCCCACUCCUCAAGAGGAUGCAGUGUUCAAGGUGCCAUCUUAGAAGCAGAGACUGGGCCCUUUCCAGACACCAAAACCUGCCAUCACCUUGGACUUCUCAGCCUCUAGAACUGUGAAGAAGCACUGAUUUGUUCUUACUGGAACUGGCAACUACACUGGAGAGGGAAUUUUGGUCUGUUGCCAAGGCUGGAGUGCAGUGGUGCAAUCUCAGCUCGCUGCAACCUCCCUCUCCUGGGUUCAAAUGAUUCUCCUGUAGCAGCCUCCUGAGUAGCUGGGAUUACAGGCACACACCAUUACACCCAAUUCUAGGAAGAAAAUAAAUAGAGUGCCACAAAGUAAAGAACAGAUAUGCAAACCUGGAUGGCAGGGUCAUGGAAGGCUCUUCAAGGAGGUACUACUUAAGCAGUUUGGAUACAUAUUUAAAGGCCUCAGAUUUUUCAGCUCCAGAGACGCUGUCAAUCACUGGAUCUUCACCAAACCAGUAGAUUCCUCAUCCAACCUCUUCACAGACCUUCCUCCCAAAGGUAAAUUGAAGGCCAGAGACAGGAAUUUGCCUAAAUCACAGAGUCUCACUUUGUCAUCCUGUCUGGAGUGCAAUGGCAUGAUCUCAGCUCACUGCAGCCUCCGUCUCCCGGGUUCAAGCAAUUCUCCUGCCUCACCCUCUCUAGUAGCUGGGAUUACAGAGCAUCAAAAUAUUAUCUUUGUUUAUGUGGCCCCAGGACAGAUGAAACUUGUACUGGUGCAAAAAUCCAUCCCAGUCAUAACCAUUAGUCAUGAAGUCUAGAGUUCAUUUGAUGCAAUAUUUAUUGAUCAUCUAUAAUUUGUGAAAGUGUUGUCAGGUUAUUAAUCUAUAGUUCCUACUACAAAUAUUUAAACGCAGUACUAGAGUAUUAUUUAAUGGAAUUCUAUCAUAAACCAAUGCAUCCCUCCUG